rnacentral:rRNA from 1 species
AGAUUUAACGAAAGUGGCGAACGGGUGAGUAACACGUGAGCAACCUGCCUUACACAGGGGGAUAGCCAUUGGAAACGGUGAUUAAUACCCCAUAAGACCACAAUACCGCAUGGUAAAAGGGUAAAAGGGAUACCGGUGUAAGAUGGGCUCGCGUCUGAUUAGCUAGUUGGUGGGGUAAAGGCCUACCAAGGCGACGAUCAGUAGCCGGUCUGAGAGGAUGAACGGCCACAUUGGAACUGAGACACGGUCCAAACUCCUACGGGAGGCAGCAGCC